AUGCCGGAGGACUGUGAGCCAAAACACUCAGUACUUCGGCGCAGGCACUCGGCUGUCGGGCGCUCUGGGACCCCGGGGUCAGCGAGGCCUGUUUUUGUGCCAUGCCGGAGGACUGUGAGCCAAAACACUCAGUACUUCGGCGCAGGCACUCGGCUGUCGGUGAUCGAGGACCUGAGCAAGGUGACCCCACCCACGGUCACCGUGUUUGAGCCAUCCGAAGCAGAGAUCAACCGCACCAGCAAGGCCACACUGGUGUGCCUGGCCACGGGCUUCUACCCCGACCACGUGGAGCUGAGCUGGUGGGUGAACAGGAAGGAGGUGCACAGUGGGGUCAGCACGGACCCUCAGCCCUACAGCGAGAAGCCCGACAACUCCAGCUACUUCCUGAGCAGCCGCCUGAGGGUCUCGGCUGCCUUCUGGCACAACCCCCGCAACCACUUCCGCUGCCAGGUCCAGUUCUUUGGGCUCACAAAGGAAGACAACUGGACCCUGACCAGGCCCAAACCCAUCACCCAGAACAUCAGUGCUUCGGCCUGGGGCAGAGCAGAUUGUGGCCUCACCUCAGCAUCCUACCAGCAAGGGGUCCUGUCUGCCACCAUCCUGUAUGAGAUCCUGCUGGGAAAGGCCACCCUGUAUGCUGUGCUGGUCAGCACCCUUGUGCUGAUGGCCAUGGUCAAGAAAAAGGGUUCCUGAGGCCACUUCCUAAUGUGCGUCCUGAAUCAUCCUUCGUCUUCACAUAGAUUCUCCUAUAUCUAUUCCUAGUCUGUAUUCCUAAAGAGUCAUUCUCCCUCCAUCUCUCAUCCCUUUCCCACAUGGACAUCUGUCCUUUCUCUGCUUCCAUGCCCAUAAAACUCCCAAAUCUGUGUCUGAAAUAGACUAACCCAAUAAAAUUAGCCUGAUGGGCCUGUUUGUGUC